rnacentral:rRNA from 1 species
AAGCAUUGUUUCUUAAUCUGAGUAUAUCAAUAUUACCUUGUUCAGAAUUAAAGAGAAAUCUUGAGUUUAUGGACUUCAGGGGGAGUAUGGUCACAAGGCUGAAACUUAAAGGAAUUGACGGAAGGGCACACCAGGAGUGGAGCCUGCGGCUUAAUUUGACUCAACACGGGAAAACUUACCAAGACCGAACAGUAGAAGGAAUGACAGAUUAAGAGUUCUUUCAUGAUUUAUUGGGUAGUGGUGCAUGGCCGUUCUUAGUUGGUGGAGUGAUUUGUCAGGUUAAUUCCGGUAACGAACGAGACUGAAACCUAUUAAUUAGUUUUCUGCCUAUAAGACAGAAAUGUUCGCAAGAACAGGUGCGUAAGUACCACUUCUUAAAGGGACACAUUUCAAUUGUCCUAUUUUAAUUGUAGUUAU